UCGGACCUAAGAGUAGAGGUUGAUUCCACUCUCCCACCACGCACUUUUCGUAUCAUCCUAGAUCUGGAUGCCCUUCAUGGAACCUAAAAACCAGCGAGUCCCGGAAAGGCCUCAGGCAAUUGCCAAGCCGAUGGCCUUCUGCCACUUAGUUAAUGUGCACCUGGCAGCUUAGGUGGCCGCGGAGAAAGCAACUUUGGCUGCACCAAGGUCCGGCACAAGUCUGGAGAAGCUUCAGCCAGUUCCAGUGAGUUGGGAUAAAUGAAACGUGGAUCUACCAUAGACGUCUGUCCGUCUUACUGGAUAAGCGAGCACCUUUACCGGGGAAGUUAGAUGGCUGGAGUCAGCUGGCAAAUACAGAAGCAGGAAACAUUACACUGAAGCUCAGAAAAUAAUAUCCCCAAAUGAAGGCAUCAGAAAUAAAAGUUCUUCUCUGACCUUCUUUCUCUCAAGGUCAUAAGACCUCCAUUCCAUAGAGGGCCCUGUGCCACACCCAGAAGGAAGGAACGCUGCUCAGAGAGGCCAAGAUGAGUCUAGACAGGCAGGCCCUGCUGGGGUUUCCCAACUCCAUCUAUUAGCAUUAGAUCAUACCCUUAUUGUCCAAUCAUAUUUCUCCAUUGCUGCUCGUACUUUGUUGAACCUAAGCAAAAAUCGGACAAUUUU
rnacentral:lncRNA from 10 species